rnacentral:rRNA from 1 species
GUAGUUUGACUCCGUGCUCGAGGAUGAACGCUGGCGGCGUGCUUUAACACAUGCAAGUCGAACGGUGAAGCCAAGCUUGCUUGGUGGAUCAGUGGCGAACGGGUGAGGUAACACGUGAGCAACCUGCCCUGGACUCUGGGAUAAGCGCUGGGAAACGGCGUCUAAUACUGGAUAUGAGACGUGAUCGCAUGGUCGUGUUUGGAAAGAUUUUUCGGUCUGGGAUGGGCUCGCGGCCUAUCAGCUUGUUGGUGAGGUAAUGGCUCACCAAGGCGUCGACGGGUAGCCGGCCUGAGAGGGUGACCGGCCACACUGGGACUGAGACACGGCCCAGACUCCUACGGGAGGCAGCAGUGGGGAAUAUUGCACAAUGGGCGGAAGCCUGAUGCAGCAACGCCGCGUGAGGGAUGACAGCCUUCGGGUUGUAAACCUCUUUUAGCAGGGAAGAAGCGAAAGUGACGGUACCUGCAGAAAAAGCGCCGGCUAACUACGUG